AUUGAACGCUGGCGGCAUGCUUUACACAUGCAAGUCGAACGGGGUGAGGAGCUUGCUCCUCAUCUAGUGGCGAACGGGUGAGUAAUACAUCGGAACGUACCGUGUAGUGGGGGAUAACGUAGCGAAAGUUACGCUAAUACCGCAUACGAUCCACGGAUGAAAGCAGGGGACCUUCGGGCCUUGUGCUAUGCGAGCGGCCGAUGUCUGAUUAGCUAGUUGGUGGGGUAAAGGCCCACCAAGGCAACGAUCAGUAGCGGGUCUGAGAGGAUGAUCCGCCACACUGGGACUGAGACACGGCCCAGACUCCUGCGGGAGGCAGCAGUGGGGAAUUUUGGACAAUGGGCGCAAGCCUGAUCCAGCCAUGCCGCGUGUCUGAAGAAGGCC
rnacentral:rRNA from 1 species